ensembl:lncRNA
CAACUGAAUGCCUGGGUGGAUCAAGGUGGUGAUCUCUUUUCGUCCUGUAGCAAGGUAGACUUGUGGGUGUGGUCUGCCUUCACUGAGAUGGAAAUAAGAAAUUACAACUAGAGACGAUCAGAUCUGUAAGGCCUGGAGAGCCACGCAGAAGGAUGCAGACUGGUCAUCGGGCAGGAGUAUUGGGGCACAGAUGGCCAGUAUUGGAGGCUGAGACUUGAGAGAUGUCAAACAUCUGAGUGGGACCAGGACAGGGUGGAUGCCUCGACCUGACUCUCUAUUUACGUGGCUGGGUGAUUGGGCGCUUGUGAAGAAAACACUGGCAUAUGUUGGUGACACAGUAAAUCCACAUCUACCUGCUAGUGUAAGAGUCUCAGCAUCACACAGCAAUCAUUUUGGGUUUUCUUCCGAGGUAUUUUCUGCAGACCUCAGCACAGCUCACUUCUACAGCCAAGGUUUUGCAGAACAAUAUGAUCAUCUUUAACUUUGAGAAAGCUGCUCUCUAAGAUCGUCUGGAUCCUGUGCUACUUCAAAAGUGUACGUGGUGAGCCAAGGCAAACAUCUCUUGAGGUAUUGGCACAAAGCAUGCUCUGAAGAAGUGAAUUUCCUCCUCCCCGACUAUCAGAGCACGUACGCCACCCACUACUGAUCACCUGAUGUCCAUGCCUGUUUAUACUUGUGGUUAAUUUUUUGUGUCAAUCUGACUGGACCAUGCGGUGCCCAGACAUUUGGUUAAGCAUUAUUCUGUGUAUGUCGGUGAGGGUGAAGGCCUGACCCUCCGCCAGUAGGAGGAUACUUCUCCUGAUUUCCUGCCUUGAGGUGGGAUGUCAGCUCUUUGCUACCUUUGGAUUCUAACUGAAACAUUGGCUCUUUCUGGGUCUCCAGCAUGCUGAUGGCAGAUCUUGGCACUUGUCAGCCUCCAUGUAACCAAUUCCUUACAAUCUCUCUCUCUCUCCUAUUGGUUCCAUUUCUCUGAAGGGCCCUAACUAGUACAAUAUCCAAGAAGCUCAUGCCGGGGCUUGUCUGUGUAUUUUGAGGGGAGGGCAAUGGGCCUGAGGAGACUGAGGCAGGCAUGUUUUUCAGCUUCCAGAAGGUUCUUCCUUUCCUCUGCUUUUUCUUUAGUUCUCCUCUCCCCUGACAAAGGGCCUUUGUUAAUCUGCAUAAUGACCUCAGGGAUAUCUCCGUUUUCAUCCACUUCCUCACUCCAAUUUACUCAUCAUAAAGCUAGAAUUUUUUAUGUAGACAUCACAGCGCUAUACCUGGAUUCUCGCUUUUGCCCCAAAUAGCUAACCUUACAUGCAGAAUAGUGGCAGGAGUAUCCAGAAAUAAUCCCGGAGCAGAUUUCUGUACGGUCCCAGAAGCCCUCAUUCUUUUUAUCCAGAGGGACAGUAUAAUACAUCUAAACAACUCAACAAACCAGUGAUAUGGUGGAGUAUGAUUCAGCAAAUAUUGAAAGGGGAGGAAGGAAGGCGGAAAGGCAGGAAGGCAAGAAGGCAGAAAGCAAGGAAGGGAGAGAGAGUGUGCUUGCUUAUACAAGCCAUUAUUUCAGUGACAUAAUGUCACUAAGAUAAGUAAGAAAUAAGAUCUUACCUUCAAGAGUCAAUAAGCUGGUGAAGGAUGGGGACUUGUGCACAAGUAACUUCAGCAUGAAGUAAUACUGUUAAGGAACUCUCACAGCCAAUGUGUUUGCCAGUGAAUCUAGACCAUUCCUAGUUUCCAUUAAAUGAAAGAUUCCAAGCUUCUCAGCAAAGCUCUUCUUCCCUAAUGCAAGUAGACGUCUGACUCUGACGCUGCCUCAGAUGACUUUCAAGCUGCAUAUCAUUUCCAAUGAUAAAGACAAGAAUUCUGGAAAACAGCACUGCAUCCCAGGUUUGCUAAAAAGAAGUGCAGGAAGAAGGGAGAACACUCAAGAAAGGUGUUUAGAUAGCACCCUUUGCUGUAUGUGUUUAGAUCUGAUGACUAAAACCCUAACACAAGCACUGAUGUCUCAGGAGCUUAGAGAGAAUUUAGAAUCUGUCUUCCUGCAUAUCCCAGUGAAGAC